GUGCAGCAGUCGCGAAACUUUACAAUGUGCGAAGCACGAUAAGGGAACUCUGAGUGCCUCCUAAGGAGGCUGUUCAGGUGUCUAAAAGCACCUGAAGGAAGGGCUGGGUAAGACCGGUGCCAGCCGCCGCGGUAACACCGGCAGCCCAAGUGGUAGCCACGUUUAUUGGGUCUAAAGCGUCCGUAGCCGGCUGGGGUAAGUUCCUUGGGAAAUUUGGCUGCUUAACAGUCAAGCUUUCAGGGAAUACUGCCCGGCUUGGGACCGGGAGAGGUCAGAGGUACUCCAGGGGUAGGGGUGAAAUCCAUUAAUCCUUGGGGGACCACCGGUAGCGAAGGCGUCUGACCAGACCGGGUCCGACGGUGAGGGACGAAGGCUAGGGGCGCGAACCGGAUUAGAUACCCGUGUAGU
rnacentral:rRNA from 1 species